AGUCCAGCCAGCUUUUUUUUUUUGACAACCUUUUUUCGUUCUCUCUCAUGAAGGAUAUGUUUUGAAAAUUAGUCUUACAAAAUACAAUUCCAAACCAACUCAUGCAGUUAUCGUCUUUUCACAGUAUUGAGGAGUCAUCCUUUUUGCUAGCCAGAGUGUUAAUUGGCAAAAGUGAAAAAUUCAUUUUCUUUAAUUUUUUAAAUUAUUAACAAGUAGAACCAUGGCAACCAGUUCUGAUGAUGUACCAGAAUGGCUCAAGGAUCAUACUUAUACUAUUUCUACUUUCUGGGCAUCCAUUCAAUAUUUAUUUUAUUAACAAGUAGAACCAUGGCAACCAGUUCUGAUGAUGUACCAGAAUGGCUCAAGGAUCAUACUUAUACUAUUUCUACUCUCUGGGCAUCCAUUCAAUAUUUAAUUUAUGUUUGGAAAUGCAAGAAAAAGGCAUGCAUUCCUGAAAAGUCAAUGAUUGGUUGCACCUCUUAAAGAUAACUUUCUGUUAUGAGAAAAGAUGAGAUUCUUGGACUCCUGCAUAGCACCACCAGAAAGGAAAAUCCCAUCAUGUUGCAAAAUAAAAGUCUUGGACCAAUUUUAAUUUAAGAUAUAUAUAUUAUACUGUAAGCUGUAUACAUAUUUAUGUAUAUCCUGUCAUUCAGCCAACAGGUUUGAAUUUAGUAUUUCUUUAAAUCUGUUUGAUAUUGUACUUGAAAACUAUUAAUCUGAGCCCCAUUAAAACAAGAGGGAGUGCAGUGGAUGAGUGGUAAGGGAAAUUUUACUUUUUUAAAAUUAAAAUAAGAAUCUAACAAAAGUAAACAUAUAAAAUAUGGUGCAUUCUCCUUAAAACUAAAACCUGGUGCAAAGGUUUAAAAUGUUGGCAAAAAAAAAAGCAACAUCAAUUAAAUAUUCUUAAUUCCCUUUGCAAAACUUACUGAGAAGAACAUGCAUGUUGUUCCCUCAUAAGUUUCUUGACAGAGGAAAUCUUGUUUAUAUUAGUUUUGAAUUAAGCAAAUUAAGAAAAAAAUUAUAAUCAUUAUUUCAAAUGGUUGUAUCUAAACCUUAUGAAUUAUUUUUCAGUUAUAAGUAUAUUGAAAUGAAUGGAUAAUCAUGAAAUUGUUAAAUAAUUGCUGCUAUCAUUCCAUUGACUAAAGAACCAUAAUUUUUUUUUUUAAUUAAUUUCAAAAUUAAUUAAUUAAUUAAUUUUCAAGCAGAGUUCACAUAGAUCUUGAGUGAAAUUUUUCUUUUUUUGACUAAUGCUUCAAUUUUAUUGUAUCAUUAGUUUUUUAUUUUUAUUACCCAGAAUAUUUUAAAAAUGAGUACACUAUUUUCAUGUAAUAAUGUAACUUGGUAUUCACACAUCAAAAUACGCUAUAAUCUUUAGGCCAUAUAGAUUUGUAUAAAUAUAAAUUAACUUGCUUAAAUACAUUGUAAAUGUAUAUUGUUUGGAUAAGAAUAAAGUUUUUCUGUAGACAA